UGAUUUGUCACUUAAAGAGGGAGGCAGAUCAAGAGCAUCUCUUCCUCCGGCUGCUGAGUCAUCCUGCUCUGGCAGUUAUUUAAACAGAAGCCUCCAGGAGACAUACAAUCAACACUCCUCUCAGACAAUGCCCAGACCUCCAGAAAUCCUGUGUCAAGCCUGGAUUGCCUUAGACAGAAACUCACCCAGCUGGAACUCAUAUGGGACCUUGGCACCAGAGACCACCAAUUCCUCCUUGAAGUUUUCUAACAGCAUCAAUGGUAUUUCUGACUUGGCUUUCUUGUGUUUCUCUCACGUUAACAAAACUGGUUGAGCAUGUGCCACGGGCUACAUGCUGAGCUGCAGGUGCUGUUGAUGAAACUGCCAAAGGAGCUGAAUAUGACUGACAUCUUUGGAAGGAUGAGACUUAGCAUGCCCGUACAGUUGUGUCCAAAUGCUGUCCUUAUCUCCCAAUGGAAAGUGGUCCAUGCCCAACAGAUGCAUCCAAGAAUGGCUGAAGAGCUGUGUAAUGUUGAGCAAGCAAUCUAAUCACCCCACAGAAGAGUUGUGACUUGAAUUAUCCCAGAGUCGGCCCACCUGUUUUCAUAAAGAUCAGUGUAACUUGUCCCCAGGUUCUGCCUCUAUCCUGACGUCCAGUGUUGGAUUCCUCUUCACAUCAACUCCUCUCUGCAGGUUGGGCCAUCAGACCCUACCUCCUUAUUUAUGUUGAGCAAAGGAGAGAGAAUGCCUCUACAGACAACGAAAAAAGUGAAAAAAAAAUCCUUCUCCUCCUUAUAACUUUAGUUAGCUUAACUUUAGUCAGUUUAACUUUAGUCAGUUGCUUAGCUACUAAACAGUAGCUAUUAGGAGGUGGGAAGGAAUACUAUUGUGUAAUCAACUAAGGCUCAUACAGAAGAUUAGGGUUAUCUGGAAUGAUUCGAAUUCAUUAGAAUUUACUCUCAGAGCUGUGGCAAUUCCUUGAACCACAUUGAUUGCUAUAAGGUGGAAGAGGAAUAGAUUGAAUUUUGGGGAGUCAACUACAAUGUGUACUACAGGUAAAUACUAUGAAUUUCCAAUUCACAGAUGAGAAAAUUGAGGCAUGUGCUGGGAGGAAGGUUAUGUAAUUUGCCCAGUAUCACAAUUGAACCUAGGCAAAAGCCUAUCUCCAGGUCUAACAAUUCAGUGACCUCCUGUGUACAUUUCUGUCUCUCCGUUUUUUAGAGUCGGGGUCUCACUGGGCCACCCAGGCUGGAUUGCAGUGGCUUGAUCAUGGAGAUCAUGGCUUUCUGUAGCCUUGAACUCCUGGGCUCAAGUGAUCUUCCUGCCUCAGCUUCCCGAGUAGCUGGGACUACAGGCUUGACAACACACCCGGCUAUCCUGUGUACAUUUCUUGAGAGCUUAUAAUAUAUAAGAGAAACUCUAAAAUAAGGGGAGGGUGUGCUAAGGGGAAGACCAAAUCACUAUCGAGGUGGAUUCAAUCCUACCUCUUCUAUUUCCUAGUUGUGUGACUCUUUUGAAAGGGGAAUAAUAGGCCGGGCACGGUGGCUCCUGCCUGUAAUCCCAGCACUUUGGGAGGCCCAGGCGGGCAGAUCACCUGAGGU